rnacentral:rRNA from 1 species
GCUACACAUGCAGUCGAACGGUAACAGGAAGCAGCUUGCUGCUUCGCUGACGAGUGGCGGACGGGUGAGUAAUGUCUGGGAAACUGCCUGAUGGAGGGGGAUAACUACUGGAAACGGUAGCUAAUACCGCAUAACGUCGCAAGACCAAAGAGGGGGACCUUCGGGCCUCUUGCCAUCGGAUGUGCCCAGAUGGGAUUAGCUAGUAGGUGGGGUAACGGCUCACCUAGGCGACGAUCCCUAGCUGGUCUGAGAGGAUGACCAGCCACACUGGAACUGAGACACGGUCCAGACUCCUACCGGAGGCAGCAGUGGGGAAUAUUGCACAAUGGGCGCAAGCCUGAUGCAGCCAUGCCGCGUGUAUGAAGAAGGSCUUCGGGUUGUAAAGUACUUUCAKCGGGGAGGAAGGCGAUAAGGUUAAUAACCUUGUCGAUUGACGUUACCCGCAGAAGAA